rnacentral:rRNA from 1 species
UACGUAGGGUGCGAGCGUUAAUCGGAAUUACUGGGCGUAAAGCGUGCGCAGGCGGUUUUGUAAGCCGGAUGUGAAAUCCCCGGGCUUAACCUGGGAAUGGCAUUCGGGACUGCAAGGCUGGAGUGCGGCAGAGGAGACUGGAAUUCCCGGUGUAGCGGUGAAAUGCGCAGAUAUCAGGAGGAACACCGAUGGCGAAGGCAGGUCUCUGGGCCACUACUGACGCUGGAGAAGCGAAAGCGUGGGGAGCGAACAGGAUUAGAUACCC